AAAGAAGCAGAAGACCAGGUGUGGUGGGUGCCCUCUGCCCCCACCGAGGUAGCAGACCACACCCUGGAUGGUUCCGAAACCCCGACUAGAGAUGGCAAGUGAAUGAAAGGACAGACACAGAAACAGGGAAUGGCAGUCCAUACAUCCCA